UUUGAUCCUGCCGGAGGCCAUUGCUAUCGGGGUCCGAUUUAGCCAUGCUAGUUGUGCGGGUUCAGACCCGCAGCGGAAAGCUCAGUAACACGUGGCCAAACUACCCUGUGGAUGGGAACAAUCUCGGGAAACUGAGGCUAAUUCCCAAUAAGGCUCGACCCCUGGAAUGGGUCGAGCUGGAAACGCUACGGCGCCACAGGAUGUGGCUGCGGCCGAUUAGGUAGACGGUGGGGUAACGGCCCACCGUGCCCAUAAUCGGUACGGGUUGUGAGAGCAAGAGCCCGGAGACGGUAUCUGAGACAAGAUACCGGGCCCUACGGGGCGCAGCAGGCGCGAAACCUUUACACUGUACGCAAGUGCGAUAAGGGGACUCCGAGUGUGAAGGCAUAGAGCCUUCACUUUUGUACACCGUAAGGUGGUGUACGAAUAAGGGCUGGGCAAGACCGGUGCCAGCCGCCGCGGUAAUACCGGCAGCCCGAGUGAUGGCCGAUAUUAUUGGGCCUAAAGCGUCCGUAGCUGGCCGGACAAGUCCGUUGGGAAAUCUGCUCGCUUAACGAGCAGGCGUCCAGCGGAAACUGUUCGGCUUGGGACCGGAAGACCUGAGGGGUACGUCCGGGGUAGGAGUGAAAUCCUGUAAUCCUGGACGGACCACCGGUGGCGAAAGCGCCUCAGGAGGACGGAUCCGACAGUGAGGGACGAAAGCUAGGGUCUCGAACCGGAUUAGAUACCCGGGUAGUCCUAGCUGUAAACGAUGCCCGCUAGGUGUGGCGCAGGCUACGAGCCUGCGCUGUGCCGUAGGGAAGCCGAGAAGCGGGCCGCCUGGGAAGUACGUCUGCAAGGAUGAAACUUAAAGGAAUUGGCGGGGGAGCACUACAACCGGAGGAGCCUGCGGUUUAAUUGGACUCAACGCCGGACAUCUCACCAGCAUCGACUGUGGUAAUGACGGUCAGGUUGAUGACCUUACCCGAGCCACAGAGAGGAGGUGCAUGGCCGCUGUCAGCUCGUACCGUGAGGCGUCCUGUUAAGUCAGGCAACGAGCGAGACCCGCAUCCUUACUUGCCAGCAGCACCGCGAGGUGGCUGGGGACAGUAGGGAGACCGCCGUGGCUAACACGGAGGAAGGAACGGGCAACGGUAGGUCAGUAUGCCCCGAAUAUGCUGGGCAACACGCGGGCUACAAUGGCCGAGACAAUGGGUUCCAACGCCGAGAGGCGACGGUAAUCUCAGAAACUCGGUCGUAGUUCGGAUUGUGGACUGAAACUCGUCCACAUGAAGCUGGAUUCGGUAGUAAUCGCGUGUCAGAAGCGCGCGGUGAAUACGUCCCUGCUCCUUGCACACACCGCCCGUCAAAGCACCCGAGUGAGGUCCGGAUGAGGCUCCCGAGAGGGAGUCGAAUCUGGGCUUCGCAAGGGGGCUUAAGUCGUAACAAGGUAGCCGUAGGGGAAUCUGCGGCUGG
rnacentral:rRNA from 1 species